rfam:Ovis aries breed Texel chromosome 15, whole genome shotgun sequence.
UUCCUGAUAACUCAGUUGGUAAAGAAUCCACCUGCAAUGCAGGAGACCCCAGUUCAAUUUCUGGGUCAGGAAG